ACUUCCUAGAUUUUCUGUGGCAUUCUGUAGGAGCAUUGUAUUGCUUGGAAAAAAAAAUGAUCAAAAUCAUUCUGAGGCAAAUGCUCUAUUAUCCUUAUUUAUGACAAGAGAAUAAUGAAAUUCAUAAGAAAUUAAUAACAUUCAGAUAUUGCUAUAAACGUACUUGAGUCAUUUUCAUUUGGGGAUAGUAAUAAUGGCUGUGGCAGCUUUAAUGGAGAAACCUGUGUUGGCCUCUUUUUCUGGCAUUAGGAUCUCUUGUCAUAAAACUAUUGGUAAAGUACAGGUUUGAUAGCAGAGUUCCUGAAUUCAGCAUAUCAUCAGAAUUUCCAUUUACCUUUUGUCUUUUCUUUUUAUUGUAUUUUUUAACCUUUUUGUUUCUAUUCCUACCUCCCAUGAGUAACAUUGAUUUCUGCUGAAGUUAGAAUUUGUGUUAAGAAUUGACUUUAAAUUUCUGAAAUAGUUGAAUAUUAGAAGUGGCUUCAAUUGCCAUGAAAUGAUUGCUUUUCUUUUUCUUUUUUUUCCUUAAAUAAAAAUAAUGCAGCCUUAUAUAUGUCUCUUCCCCUCAAGAAUGUGAAUUUAGGCUGGGCAUAGUGACUCACGCCUGUAAUCCCAGACCUUUGGGAGGCUGACACGGGAAGAUUGCUUGAGCCCAGGAAUUUCAGACCAGCCUGGGCAACACAGGAAGACUCCAUCUCUACUUAAAAUAUUUUUGUUUUUUAGCCAGGUGUGGUGGUAUGUGCCUGUAGUCCCAGCUACUUGGGAGGCUGAGGUGGGAGGAUCACUUGAACCCAGGAGUUUGAGGCUGCAGUGAGCUAUGAUUGCGACACUGCACUCCAGCCUGGGCAACAGAGCAAGACCCUGUCUCAAAAAAAAAAAAAAAAGAAUGUGAAUUUAGCUCCAAUUCCAAAUGACUAACUCUUAGGCCAGUCAUAGCCAAUGAAAUCAUCUGACGGUAGCUUCUGUAGCCCUUAGCCUAAGGAGUCAUUAGAGGUUAUAGUAAAUUAGUUUCUCUAGUGGUGCAGAGAGAAACGCCAUCGGGGAAAUUAUCACUGUCUUUUUGGCUAAAGUUUUAUAUUGUGAACUGGAUCCCACUUAACAGCUUAAAAACACAAAAAUGAAAGGGUAGUCCUAGUUUAUCUUCUUAAUUAGAAUCAUUAUUUGGAAAUAAGAUUUGCAAUGUGCUGUCUAUCCCCAAACACUGCUGAGCUUGCUGGAAAACAGAAUUUAACAUGAAUGUUGUCUGAAAGCUGUAGGAUCAAUGGCAAAAAAGGGGAAAUGUUUGGUAGGGAAUUGGACCAGUUCUAAGGUAUCACUUUUAAUUAUAAAAUAAUGUCUUCCUUUUUAUCUGCUUUUCAGACAGCCUCAGUGAACUAUUAAACAUUUGUGUGCAAAGUCCUAUUUUGCUUAUCUAAGGCAUUUUAACUUGGAAGUAUUAAACUUCAGGAACGAGCUAGAGAAGACAAUGAGGGUAUGUUAGAGAAGGAAAAAUAGGAGCUUUUUGCUUAUGGAUUUUAGAGGUCCACAAAUCGAAAGGAAAAAUAAAUUUCUUCAUUUCUAACCCUAAAAUAAUUUUGUUAAUGGGAUGCUGGGAAGAAGACUACCAAAAGGCCUCAAAGCUCAUGCUUCUAGAAUAUUCAGUAAUUCUGAAUAGUCUUUGGGAAGUAGCAUUUCUUGGGAAGUAGCAUUUCCCUUCUCCCAAAUAACUGUUUGAGAUCUUAAAACAGAAAAUCCAGUGUUAAUGGGCUCUAGAUCUUAAACUAGGUGAGCAGCUUCUUACAUACAACCAGUUCCUUGUUAAGGAUCCAGCAGGAAAACCAGCCAUAAAACAUUUCAACAUGCAGUCUGGGGGCUCCCUUGCUUAUUCACUGAAUUUAAGCUCUUGCUGCAACAUAGCUCUGUACCAUCUGGGAUGCUAGCAGUCACAGCAGUUAGCUCAGAUAUCUGAGCUGUCUGCCACACAAAGCCUGAGGAGAUCAUCAUUCUUCAGUUUCAUUCAUUACUUAAUGAAUGCCAAAUUAAUUGGCAGGAAGAAGAAACACUGUGUGAUAUACUGAACAAGCCUGUGUGCAUGAAUAAGGAGCCACUCAAAAAGCCAAUUUUGAGCUUUAUUUCUCCGUUGUUAACAAAUCUCAAGAAAGCCUUUGUUACAGUUUAGCUCAUGUCAUUUGGUUGGUUUUAUUUUCUAGCCCUUUAACAUAGGAGGAAAAUUGUCAUUUCAUGUAUAACUUGUAACACAGAAUUGAACUGAUACUAGUUUCCUUGCCUUAAAUUAAUUAUAUGUCAUCCCAAGGGUCUCUGUUAAUUCUGCUUUGCCAAGCAAUAAUGAGAUCUGGGUUUGGCAUUAGAAGUAUUUCAUAAUUUUGGUUUUUUCUUUAGGUUUCCUCCACAUCUGUAAAGUGAUUGAUUAAAUUAGAGGAGGCAUGUAGAAUAAAUCCCAAUCCCAUUGCAACUGGCAGAGCUUUAUAAAUCUUUAUAAAUUCAGUUACAACAAAGGAGAGGAUCCUACACCAUUAGAGCCAUGCCAUCAGGUGUUUGCAAGUGACAGCUGUAGUGUGUUGCCUCAAAUAAUACCAAGUUAUAAAUAAUACCAAGUAAUUAUCAACUCACUCCCAAAUUUAAUAAUAAGAUAUCAAAGUCCAAAAGGUUACUUAGGAGUAGUCUUCCAUGGGGGAAGAUAAAUUUAUUAAAAAGUCAUGUACUGAUCUUUUUCUUGGGAUUUUUUUUUCCUUUCCCAGAAAAAAAAUUAUUUUGGUGACUGAUCAAUUGUAAACAAUUUUCUUCCUUACUUACAAAUCAUCCGUUCAGAAAAAUAAAAGUGGACUUCCUUUCCUAAGCAUUACAAUUAGCCUGGGCAAGAGGUGUUAUGAUUGUCUUAUUCUUUAAGCCAGCUUACUUUUUGGAUUUGUGUGAAAUGUCUUUUGAAAAGAAAGUAGAUAGUAUAGUAUUAAUUAACUACUUUGUAUAGUCUUCUGCAUAAUUUAGAGUUGAAAAUAAUGUAACAUUUUCCUGUGAACAGAUUCCUUUAUGCGUACAUACUUUAUAAAUAUACAUACAUACACAUACAUUUUUAAAAUGCUCUUUUUAAAGAGAUUCUUAUCUUGCUCCCACUCCAAAAGCUAUGUACAGUUGAGUUACUAGCCUCAGAGGAAGAGUACAGGAAAGCGAAGAUGAGGACCUCCUUUUCUUGUGUUGGUCUUGGGAACAAACAGUAUUCCGUCUUUCAAAUAUGGCAUAUUUCUAAACAGUUUGGGAAAGAUGUUAGAAUUUUUUAAAAGUCAGCUCUUUUAUAAAUUGGAAGUACUCAGUAGUCAGAAAUUAAGAUCCCCUCUGAUAGAGAUAGAUUCUCAAAACCAAAAUUGGACUGAAAAUUAGAUUGAGAAGAAAGAUACAACUUCCUCCAUAGCCAAUAAAAUCUGUCUUUCCAAGUCUGCUUAUUAAUGCUGUGAAUCGCUCCUUCUGUUUGUGAAAACAUCUCCUGGACUGGAAAUGUGGUGCUGUAACCAGCUGAGCCGAAAGUUGGAGAAUGUUAAAUAUCUUUUAUGGGACUUACGAUAAAAUGUUUUGAUGUUAGUGAUUGUCAAAAUAGGUUUAUCAUUUAAAAAACUAGGAAAUUUCUAAGUAUAAAGAAGAAAAACCAGUAUUAAUUAAGUGAUGAGACCUCUUCAUUUUGUUUUCCCUGACUUAUUUCCAUUACCAAACAUAGUAAAGGCCAGAAAAGAUUUAAAAAAAAAAUUAACACAGCCAUUCCAUUGUUUUUUACCACGUGGAGAAAGGACCAGGCUGGAAGCCUAUGUCCCCCCACCCUUAUUUAUAUUCCUUUGAGCAUUGCCGUUUUCUAGAUAGACAAUCCGAAAAUAAUUGUGUUGAUAGGUCUGUUUAAGCCUGAACUCUGGGUGUAAAAUGUUAUCCAGAAGCUAUAGGGAGCUGCCUUGCUCAGGUCAUUGGAAAUUUCAACCCUAAGACUCAUUUGAAUUUCUAAGUCCGUUAUGCACCAUUAUGGGCAUAUGGAGCAUAUUCAUACCAUGAGGAGGAGUCUUUGUUUAUGAUGGACUUUUUAAUAUGGCCGUAAUUAAACUCACACUCAAAAAGGAUGAGCUAUUGUCAAAAGCCAAAAGAAAAACAGACAAAAUGAACAUGAAGCAAGGAGUCCAUAAAACAAGAGUUCUUUACCACGUUUAAGCAAAUGUCUCUCAAAAAAAAUUGUAUUUCUGUGCACAUUAGCUGAGAUUCACACAUUUUGCACCUCAGUAGUAUUUCAGAUGAGACUCAAUGUGUGGAGGAGAAAACUGCUAACUUGUUUGGUUCUACUCUUACCCCCUCUUCUGUGGCAAUGUGGGGUCAGGGCCGUAUCCUAAAGUAUCCACAUGGUCUUAAAUGGAAAUCAUGGGACUCUGGAAAGCUGGCAUGAGCUGGUUGGAGCUUUUAAACAGAAGUGCUUUAUGGGUAUCAGAUCUCUUCUGACAUCAAUUGUUUCGAAUCAUUGUUGGGCUCUGUCGUGUUCUGCAAUCUUCCCCAUUCCCCUCAUGAUCUUCUCUGGCUUAUCUUUUAUCCAAUCUGUAUGGACUUUUUAGGAUUUUUUUUUUCUUUUAGUACAAAUAAUUUUCAGAUCCCAGCUUUGGUAAAUGUGUUAAUUCUACUUUGUGAAUAAAUAAAUGAGUGAUCUGCUAAAAAUGGCAAUUGUAGAAUUAUGUUGUAUGUAAUGUACAUAUGGAGAAAGAAUGUAUUUUGUUCAUUUUCUUAAUAAAAUGUUAUAUAUGGAUGCUACAAGAUAUCUCUUGUAUUUGCUCAAACUACUUUUGAAGUGAACUUUUAAAAUGUUUUUGUACUUUACAGUUGUGUUUUCUCCCCCAGAAAGGUGAGUUUUAUUUAGGCUUCCAAAAAUGGAAAGUGAUACGCUUUCGAAGGGCCUUUGGGUGUUUUCCUUUGAGACGGUGCUCAGAUGAACAAGUACCGGCCAUGCUCACAAAGUUUCUGCGGGGAGGCUUCCACUUAUUUAAAGACCACUGGAAAGCAUGAGGUGCAGUGAUAAGGUAAGGAAUCGGCCUUUCCUUGGUCAGUCCUCCAGAGAAUUAACUCAAAAGGAUCAAAAUGCAGGACACUACCCUUGAUAUAUUUGUCACUACCUUCUGGUGGGAAGACAGCAGUAAGUAAAGAAGCCUUGGCCCUAAACACAGAUGAGAGCCAGCUGCUCCCAGGUCAAGCACAUGUGGAGACUGUACUACAGAGCUUGGAAGUUGCUGCGUUAGGAGCUUCUGCCGCCUAAGGAAGAUGACCGAGCAUCUAAUAGGGAAAUGGCUGUGUGUGCCCA
rnacentral:lncRNA from 1 species